rnacentral:lncRNA from 1 species
ACCCAGGGUUUAGGGCCCAAUCCCCCAAUGGGGGCACAGAGCGUGGGGAUGGGGACACGGGGCCCUGGUUGGGGACAAGGGACACAGCCACCUCGUCCUUGCUGCGCGCCGUGGAGUCGCACGUGGUGUUCUUGGGCUUCCGCAGAGGCACCCACUCCCCGCCUCGGUCGAAGGUGAUGACGGAUUGGAUGGAGUUGUCUGAGGGGAGCAGAGGGGGGCACAGCGGGGGCUGGCAGCGUGUCCCCACCGAGCAGCCCCCACCCCGACCCCCCCCCCAUAAAGAGCCGGGUUGCCACCUUCGGACAGCACGCUGGUGAUGUAGAUGCCACGCAGAGAGGUGACGUUGGUGAAGUCGGUCUCGCCGCCGGUGGUGGUGUACAGGUGACGCUCCAGGGACUUGGAGUACACCACGCCGCGGUCGUCCGAUGUGUAGAUGGUGCCGUAGCCGGUGUCUGGGGGGGGGCACGGGGUGGUGGUAAUUGGGAGGGGGGGGUCCCUGGGCACCCACCAGCUCCGCGCAGGGAGAGGAACGCAGCGAGAGGGAAAAACCCAAAGCUGACGUGUGGCCACGCUGCCUGCCAGGAAUGUGUGCUCUCCCGCAGCUACUGCCCGCUAAUUAGCUUCCUCGUGAAGGAAUUAAUGAGGAAAAAGUCCUUCCUCAAAGGCACGGCCCUGCCCGGGCUCAGGGCCCUUGUGCUGCGGAGCGGAGCAGCUCUCAGGGCGCAGUGCUGCUGCUGCGGUGUGCCAGCUGCUCGCCGUCCCCAUCCCCAUCCUCAUUUCAUCCCCAUCCUCACACCAACCCCGUCCUAUCCCAUCCCCAUCCCCAUCCCCAUCCUCAUUCCAUCCCAUCCCAAUCCCAUCUCAAUCUCCUUCCCAUCUGUCUUCAUCCCAUCCUCAUGCCAUCCCACACCUUCUGUAACUCAUCUCCAUCCCAUCCUCAUCCUACCCCCAUCCUGAUCCCAUCCCCAUUCUCAUCCCAUCCCCAUUCUCAACCCCAUCCCCAUUCUCAACCCCAUCCCCAUUCUCAACCCCAUCCCCAUUCUCAACCCCAUCCCCAU